UACAGAGGUCUCAAGCGUUGUUCGGAUUCAUUGGGCGUAAAGGGUGCGUAGGCGGCGCGGUAAGUCGGGUGUGAAAUCUCGGAGCUUAACUCCGGAAACUGCAUUCGAUACUGCCGUGCUUGAGGACUGGAGAGGAGACUGGAAUUUACGGUGUAGCGGUGAAAUGCGUAGAUAUCGUAAGGAAGACCAGUGGCGAAGGCGGGUCUCUGGACAGUUCCUGACGCUGAGGCACGAAGGUCAGGGGGAGCAAACGGG
rnacentral:rRNA from 1 species